rnacentral:rRNA from 2 species
GACGAACCGUGCAAACGUUGUUCGGAAUCACUGGGCUUAAAGGGCGCGUAGGCGGCUUGCCAAGUCAGGGGUGAAAUCUUUCGGCUUAACCGGAAAAGUGCCUCUGAUACUGGCGAGCUAGAGGGAGGUAGGGGCAUGUGGAACUUCCGGUGGAGCGGUGAAAUGCGUUGAUAUCGGAAGGAACGCCGGUGGCGAAAGCGACGUGCUGGAUCUCUUCUGACGCUGAGGCGCGAAAGCUAGGGGAGCGAACGGG